GAUCAUGGCUCAGGACGAACGCUGGCGGCACGCUUAACACAUGCAAGUCGAACGGAGAACAUUGAGCUUGCUUAAUGUUCUUAGUGGCGGACGGGUGAGUAACACGUGAGUAACCUGCCUCUGAGAGUGGGAUAGCUUCUGGAAACGGAUGGUAAUACCGCAUAACAUCAUGGAUUCGCAUGUUUCUAUGAUCAAAGAUUUAUCGCUCAGAGAUGG
rnacentral:rRNA from 1 species